rnacentral:rRNA from 1 species
AUGGGAACGCGAAGAACCUUACCUAGACUUGACAUCUCCUGAAUAGUGUAGAGAUACAUGAAGCCCUUCGGGGCAGGAAGACAGAUGGUGCAUGGUUGUCGUCAGCUCGUGUCGUGAGAUGUUGGGUUAAGUCCCGCAACGAGCGCAACCCUUAUUACUAGUUGCUACCAUUAAGUUGAGCACUCUAGUGAGACUGCCCGGGUUAACCGGGAGGAAGGCGGGGAUGACGUCAAAUCAUCAUGCCCCUUAUGUCUAGGGCAACACACGUGCUACAAUGGUGAGUACAGAUAGAUGCGAUACCGCAAGGUGGAGCCAAACUCUAAAACUCAUCCCAGUUCGGAUUGUAGGCUGCAACUCGCCUACAUGAAGUUGGAGUUGCUAGUAAUCGCGAAUCAGAAUGUCGCGGUGAAUACGUUCCCGGGUCUUGUACACACCG